rnacentral:misc_RNA from 1 species
AAGGAGCACAGCACCGUCUGCAGGCAGAUGUCCUGCACGGUCAGCUCAUGGGUGGAACGUUGACUAUUCGGCACAGUUAAGUUCGGUGGGUUUGCUAGUACUGCUUCGGCGUGGAACGUGAACACAUCAACUGGCUGGGCCGGGCACGCUGUUGGGUGUCUGAAGGCACGGGCUUAUGCCUGCUGGUCUUCGGUCGCCGGCCCCAGUGCACUCACCAGGUUCUGGUGGGGUGAUGGGUGGCUGGUCGUUGUUUGAGAACUGCACAGUGGACGCGAGCAUCUGU